GAGAGUAGGCGUUGGCGGUUGCAGGCCAGUUAGACUAACUGGCUUGAGGAAAGUCCGGACUCCCGAAAGACCAGACUUGCUGGAUAACGUCCAGUGCGAGCGAUCGUGAGGAUAGUGCCACAGAAAAAUACCGCCAAAACAAUUCAAAAUUCGUCUUGGAAAGUUUGCUCAACGGGGGGAACCCCCGCACGCAACUUUCCGCGAAAUUCAAAAUUCAAAAUGAACAAUUUUGGAUUGUGCGUUUUAAGUGAUGAAUUCAAUUUUGGUAAGGGUGCAAAGGUGCGGUAAGAGCGCACCAGCAGUAUCGAGAGGUACUGGCUCGGUAAACCCCGGUUGGGAGCAAGGCCGAAGGAACUAUGGUUGGUCUUUUACCAGUUCCGUGAUCACAGAGCCGCUAGAGGCGUUUGGUAACAAACGUCCCAGAUAGAUAACCGCCCUCGUGUAAAGCAAUUUACACAGAGAACAGAACCCGGCUUACUACCAACUCUCUCCU
rnacentral:RNase_P_RNA from 1 species